CGGUGAAUACGUUCCCGGGCCUUGUACACACCGCCCGUCACACCACGAGAGUUUGUAACACCCGAAGUCGGUGAGGUAACCUUUUAGGAGCCAGCCGCCGAAGGUGGGACAGAUGAUUGGGGUGAAGUCGUAACAAGGUAGCCGUAUCGGAAGGUGCGGCUGGAUCACCUCCUUUCU
rnacentral:rRNA from 1 species